UCAGGACGAACGCUGGCGGCGUGCUUAACACAUGCAAGUCGAGCGGAAAGGCCCUUCGGGGUACUCGAGCGGCGAACGGGUGAGUAACACGUGAGCAACCUGCCCUAGGCUUUGGGAUAACCCUCGGAAACGGGGGCUAAUACCGAAUACGACCUUCUGCCGCAUGGUGGGGGGUGGAAAGUUUUUCGGCCUGGGAUGGGCUCGCGGCCUAUCAGCUUGUUGGUGGGGUGAUGGCCUACCAAGGCGACGACGGGUAGCCGGCCUGAGAGGGCGACCGGCCACACUGGGACUGAGACACGGCCCAGACUCCUACGGGAGGCAGCAGUGGGGAAUAUUGCACAAUGGGCGGAAGCCUGAUGCAGCGACGCCGCGUGAGGGAUGACGGCCUUCGGGUUGUAAACCUCUUUCAGCAGGGACGAA
rnacentral:rRNA from 1 species